rnacentral:rRNA from 1 species
AGUGAACGCUGGCGGUAGGCCUAACACAUGCAAGUCGAACGGCAGCACAGGAGAGCUCGCUCUCUGGGUGGCGAGUGGCGGACGGGUGAGGAAUACAUCGGAAUCUACUCUGUCGUGGGGGAUAACGUAGGGAAACUUACGCUAAUACCGCAUACGACCUACGGGUGAAAGCAGGGGAUCUUCGGACCUUGCGCGAUUGAAUGAGCCGAUGUCGGAUUAGCUAGUUGGCGGGGUAAAGGCCCACCAAGGCGACGAUCCGUAGCUGGUCUGAGAGGAUGAUCAGCCACACUGGAACUGAGACACGGUCCAGACUCCUACGGGAGGCAGCAGUGGGGAAUAUCGGACAAUGGGCGCAAGCCUGAUCCAGCCAUACCGCGUGGGUGAAGAAGGCCUUCGGGUUGUAAAGCCCUUUUGUUGGGAAAGAAAUCCAGCUGGCUAAUACCCGGUUGGGAUGACGGUACCCAAAGAAUAAGCACCGGCUAACUUCGUGCCAGCCGCCGCCGUAA